rnacentral:rRNA from 1 species
AGUGAACGCUGGCGGCGUGCCUAAUACAUGCAAGUCGAACGGAGUGGCGCACGGGUGAGUAAUGUAUAGCUAAUCUGCCCUACACUAGAGGACAACAGUUGGAAACGACUGCUAAUACUCUCUAUUGUAGGUUGAGGCUAUAUUGUAUCAGCUAGUUGGUGAGGUAAUUGCUCACCAACGGUAUGACGCAUAACUGGUCUGAGAGGAUGAGCAGGAAACCUGUAACUGAGACACGGUCCAGACUCCUACGGGAGGGAGCAGUAGGGAAUAUUACUCAAUGGGGGAAACCCUGAAGCAGCAACGCCGCGUGAAGGAUGAUACUUUUCGGAGAGUAAACUCCUUUUGUUAGGGAAGCGGUACCUAACGAAUAAGCACCGGCUAACUCCGUGCCAGCAGCCGCGGUAAUAC